rnacentral:rRNA from 1 species
UGGGGAAUAUUGUACAAUGGGCGAAAGCCUGAUCCAGCAAUGCCGCGUGAGUGAUGAAGGCCUUAGGGUUGUAAAGCUCUUUUACCAGGGAUGAUAAUGACAGUACCUGGAGAAUAAGCUCCGGCUAACUCCGUGCCAGCAGCCGCGGUAAUACGGAGGGAGCUAGCGUUGUUCGGAAUUUCUGGGCGUAAAGCGCGCGUAGGCGGCUUUUCAAGUCAGGGGUGAAAUCACGGGGCUCAACCCCGGAACUGCCCUUGAAACUGGAUCGCUAGAAUACUGGAGAGGUGAGUGGAAUUCCGAGUGUAGAGGAGAAAUUCGUAGAUAUUCGGAAGAACACCAGUGGCGAAGGCGACGCACUGGACAGUUAUUGACGCUGAGGUGCGAAAGCGUGGGGAGCAAACAGGAUUAGAUACCCCUGUAGUCC